rnacentral:rRNA from 1 species
AAUCAACGCUGGCGGCGUGCCUAACACAUGCAAGUCGAGCGGUAAGGCCCUUUCGGGGGUACACGAGCGGCGAACGGGUGAGUAACACGUGGGUGACCUGCCCUCAGCUCUGGGAUAAGCCUGGGAAACCGGGUCUAAUACCGGAUAUGACUCCAUGACGCAUGUUGUGGGGUGGAAAGCCUUGUGCGGCUGAGGAUGGGCCCGCGGCCUAUCAGCUUGUUGGUGGGGUGAGGCCUACCAAGGCGACGACGGGUAGCCGGCCUGAGAGGGCGACCGGCCACACUGGGACUGAGACACGGCCCAGACUCCUACGGGAGGCAGCAGUGGGGAAUCUUGCGCAAUGGGCGAAAGCCUGACGCAGCGACGCCGCGUGGAGGUAGAAGGCCACGGGUCAUGAACUUACUUUCUCAGAGAAGAAGCAAUGACGGUAUCUGAGGAAUAAGCAUCGGCUAACUCUGUGCCAGCCGCCGCAGUAAU